rnacentral:lncRNA from 1 species
ACCACACUGGAUGAAAAAAGCCACAAACGUAGAGACUUUACACUGUAUGGUUACCCUCAUUUAAAACAUAACAAAUAGGUGGACAGUCUAUACAGUAAAAGUCGGGAUGGUGACUGAGGGGGUAGGCAGUUGACUGUGAAUGAAAGAGAACACCACGAGGGCCAUUUCUGUUUAUCUGGGUUCUAGUAUUUUGCUGGUUAAAAUGCACCAGCUAUGCACUUACAAUGUACUCCUUUCUGUAGUUUGCACUUCCAUAAAAAGUUUUAUAAAAUUGUUAUUUCUUACACAGAAAAUCAUUUGUUUCUAGACUUAAGAGAGAGGAAUUUAUCAGCAUUUAUAGCCAUUUUAGUAUAAGGCCUCCUCAGGCAAAAGUCUUGUCCACUCUCUUUUAUUCACCAAAUAUUUGCUGAGCACUAGACACUGGAUCUGGCAUUUGGGAUACAGCAGUGAACAUUAAAGAAAAAAACUGCUUAAGCUUCUGAGGGAUGAUAAUCAGAAUAAAGCAGAGAACAGACCACCAGGUGCCAAGAGAGGGCAGAAGCAGGAGAGGCAGGUGGAGGAUGCUGGAGGGGAUGCGGUGAGGGCUCGGGGCGCAGUCUAAUGAGACAGCCAGGAAAAGCCGCAUUGACGUUUGGGCCAACACUGGGAAGGAUUGGAUGGAAGGAGCCCCAUGCGUAUCUGGGAGAAGGGUCUGGAGGGUCCAGCCUGAGGCAGAAAUGGGCUGACUAUGCAAGAGCCGUGGCGGGACUAGAGGAGUCCAAACAAGGACAGACCAGCCAGGCUGGUGUCAGGGAGAUGCCUGUGGCCCACGGUGGUGGGCCUUGUAAAGGCUCAGGACUUUGGUCCUGCAUGAGACCUUGCGAAAUGGGGAGUAAAUUUUUGCCUGACCUGGUUUGGGUUAGGUGUGGGCUGCUUGCAGUGGGAGGCUGUU